ensembl:lncRNA
GUCCACUGUGGGGCGCUGUAGAAUCAUAAUAUCCAUAACAACUACAGGUCAAACAUGGAAAUAGUUCACAUAGUUUUUCCACCAUUCAUUUUUCCCACAGGGCUGUGUUUUGUUUAGGCUCACCGUGGUGUGAUGUUUUGAUAACCAUGUAAAUCUCUCUAGGACAAGGUGACUGAGGGUGAAUGUACACUAGAUAAAUAGCGGUAAAUUGCUGUGUGCCGCUUAGGCCGCCCGUUGUGACUCCGGCAAGAAUUCAGCAGAACAAGUUUUUGUCCAAAUGGCUGGGAGAACCUAUUCAAGUAGCUAGCUAACAGCCAUGGAGGGUGAAAGGAUAGCAGCCCCAACUGUCAGUGAGAGAGGAGAGAGGAGGCUAUUCUGGAUAAGGCAGGUACUUUUGUGUAGUUCCUGUUCCUAGAAGUGAGGACUAAGAUAAUAGUAACAUAAUAUUCAGUGUGGUGUAAUUUGACUAGAAUGAAAUCUGUUUCUUGUGAGGUUUUCUGUCCUCAGAUAAAGAGCGCUAUGAAAGCCAGUCUACAUAUGAAGAGGUCCCAAUGAAGAGCAGUGGUUCUCAGUCCUGGGGACUCAAAGAGGGGCAUAUUGUUGUUUUUGCCUCAGCACUGCACAGCUGAUUCAAAUGAUAAACUCAUUAUCAAGCUUCAAGUGGUAUUUCUUUAUUCAUUUGUGAUGCCGUCCUUGAUAUGAUCCUGUUAUUGUCACAUGCUACACAUGCACAUACAGUGGGGCAAAACAGUAUUUAGUCAGCCACCAAUUGUGCAAGUUCUCCCACUUAAAAAGAUGAGAGAGGCCUGUAAUUCUCAUCAUAGGUACACUUCAACUAUGAGAGACAAAAUGAGAAACAAAUCCAGAAAAUCACAUUGUAAGAUUUUUUAUGAAUUUAUUUGCAAAUUAUGGUGGAAAAUAAGCAUUUGGUCAAUAACAAAAGUUUAUCUCAAUACUUUGUUAUAUACCCUUUGUUGGCAAUGACAGAGGUCAAACGUUUUCUGUAAGUCUUCACAAGGUUUUCACACAGUGUUGCUGAUAUUUUGGCCCAUUUCUCCAUGCAGAUCUCCUCUAGAGCAGUGAUGUUUUGGGGCUGUUGCUGGGCAACACAGACUUUCAACUCCCUCCAAAGAUUUUCUAUGGGGUUGAGAUCUGGAGACUGGAUAGGCCGCUCCAGGACCUUGAAAUGCUUCUUACGAAGCCACUCCUUCGUUGCCCGGGCGGUGGGUUUGGGAUCAUUGUCAUGCUGAAAGACCCAGCCACGUUUCAUCUUCAAUACCCUUGCUGAUGGAAGGAGGUUUUCACUCAAAAUCUCACGAUACAUAGACCCAUUAAUUUUUUCCUUUACACGGAUCAGCCCCAAAGCAUGAUGUUUCCACCCCCAUGCUUCACAGUAGGUAUGGUGUUCUUUGGAUGCAACUCAGCAUUCUUUGUCCUCCAAACACGCUGAGUUGAGUUUUUACCAAAAAGUUAUAUUUUGGUUUCAUCUGACCAUAUGACAUUCUCCCAAUCUUCUUCUGGAUUAUCCAAAUGCUCUCUAGCAAACUUCAGACGGGCCUGGACAUGUACUGGCUUAAGCAGGGGGACACGUCUGGCACUGCAGGAUUUGAGUCCUUGGCGGUGUAGUGUGUUACUGAUGGUAGGCUUUGUUACUUUGGUCCCAGCUCUCUGCAGGUCAUUCACUAGGUCCCCCCAUGUGGUUCUGGAAUUUUUGCUCACCGUUCUUGUGAUCAUUUUGACCCCACGGGGUGAGAUCUUGCGUGGAGCCCCAGAUCAAGGGAGAUUAUCAGUGAUCUUGUAUGUCUUCCAUUUCCUAAUAAUUGCUUCCACAGUUGCUUUCUUCAAACCAAGCUGCUUACCUAUUGCAGAUUCGGUCUUCCCAGCCUGGUGCAGGUCUACAAUUUUGUUUCUGGUGUCCUUUGACAGCUCUUUGGUCUUGGUCAUAGUGGAGUUUGUAGUGUGACUGUUUGAGGUUGUAGACAGGUGUCUUUUAUCCUUAUAACAAGUUCAAACAGGUGCCAUUAAUACAGGUAACGAGUGGAGGACAGAGGAGCCUCUUAAAUAAGAAGUUACAGGUCUGUGAGAGACAGAAAUCUUGCUUGUUUGUUGGUGACCAAGUCCUUAUUUUCCACCAUAAUUUGCAAAACAAUUCAUUAAAAAUGCUACAAUGUGAUUUAUUUAUUUUUUUCUCAUUUUGUCUGUCACAGUUGAAGUGUACCUAUGACGAAAAUUACAGGCCUCUCUCGUCUUUUUAAGUGGGAGAACUUGCACAAUUGGUGGCUGACUAAAUACUUUUUUGCCCCACUGUAUGUAUGCCCAUGCAUCUCUAUCAAUCCAAUGUUAUCAUGAUUUGCUAUCAGGGAUAUUAUACUUUAGUAAUCCAUAAUAACCUGGUGAUGUAACAGUCUAGUAAUUACAUUGUCUUCCAUAUUCCCACAGAUACCUUGUAACUGGAGAUUCCUUCAAAACAUUUGCCUACAGUUACCGUGUAGGGCACUGCAAGGUCAGGUGACCAGGGUGUGAAGGCUACCGGUGUCCUGCGUAACUUCAUGAAGAUGGACUCUAGGACCAGGAGAGGACCUGCAGCUCACCGCCAAGUGCCAGAGAAGUCUGCUGCUCUGCAGGAUUGUUCAGUCAUUUUUUUAUCAAUGUUCAUAAAUUCCAAUUAUCUUUAUCUGUCUGAUACCCAGAGGUUGUAAAGUUCUGGUCUUAAAUAAAACAGACAGAAUUCCCA